CAAUAGCGUAUAUUAAAGUUGUUGCAGUUAAAAAGCUCGUAGUUGGAUUUGUGGUGUACUUCGGCGGCCCGUCACUAUGUGAUGGAGCUUGCUGAAGUCGCCAUCCUUGGGUGGAUCCUGUGUGGCAUUAAGUUGUCGUGCAGGGGAUGCCCAUCGUUUACUGUGAAAAAAUUAGAGUGUUCAAAGCAGGCUUAUGCCGUUGAAUAUAUUAGCAUGGAAUAAUAAGAUAGGACCUUGGUACUAUUUUGUUGGUUUGCGCACCAAGGUAAUGAUUAAUAGGGACAGUUGGGGGUAUUCGUAUUCCAUUGUCAGAGGUGAAAUUCUUGGAUUUCUGGAAGACGAACUACUGCGAAAGCAUUUACCAAGGAUGUUUUCAUUA
rnacentral:rRNA from 1 species